rnacentral:rRNA from 1 species
UACGGGGGGGGUAAGCGUUGUUCGGAAUUAUUGGGCGUAAAGAGCUCGUAGGCGGUUUGUCGCGUCUGCCGUGAAAGUCCGGGGCUCAACUCCGGAUCUGCGGUGGGUACGGGCAGACUAGAGUGAUGUAGGGGAGACUGGAAUUCCUGGUGUAGCGGUGAAAUGCGCAGAUAUCAGGAGGAACACCGAUGGCGAAGGCAGGUCUCUGGGCAUUAACUGACGCUGAGGAGCGAAAUCAUGGGGAGCGAACAGG